GCAAUUCUUUCGCGCCCAGCGCAUUCUAACCACACUCUGACGGUUAGAAAACUUUAUAAACGAAGCGUUCUUUUAUUUAGACAACAAGCUAGUGACACUUGGUGAAGUCGAACACAGCAGGCUAUGAGUGGCUGCUUGAGAGACUGCCGCCGCUCCUUAGGCACUUGCCACGCUCGCUAGAAGACGUGUCUAUCGUCUCUUUUGGGGCAUUGGACACUUGCUCUCUGGAGCAGUUUGUUCGCCUUGAAGACCUCGCCUCAGGAGACGGGACCCUGGAAGCCACCAACCCGCAAGCCUAUGCCUCCUUCUGGGACGGCAGUGCCGCGCUUACUGCAACCCCGGGGGGGCCAUCGCCACCGGCUCACUGCGUCUGGGCCGAACAGCUGCUGGAAGCCAUUGUGGCGCCGCCCCCUGACGCGCCACUUCAGCAAAGCUGUUCUUUGGCAGGAUAGGCAGGACCGCGAUUAUGCGAUGUGCUCCCCGUCACAGUUUAUGCAAUGUGGAGUAUUCUUGCAUGAUUCAGACAUGUGUUCAGAAGCGCUGCAUUUAGCGCAAGUAAAAUGAGUUCGACAGCUCUGUGAGCUAUGUCCAAAUCUCUCGCAUUUAAAGCAUCACAGGGGAUUGGGGAUAUACGGCCUGACUCCGAUCUUUACAUAGCCUGCCUCAAUAGUCUCGAGCAGUACACUUGAGCCAAAGGUUAAAAUGAGAUGCUUGUUCAGAAUUUCAUUUUCUUCACGCUUCAUCUUAAUUCUUUUGACACUGAUGACAUUUUGUUCACUCCAGCCCUCUAAGAGUUCAGUCUCACUGAGUUUCAUGAAAUCAUCAUCCGAAAUUAUAAGGUCCAAACACUUGACAUUGGCUCAAUCGCCAGGAUCCCCUUUCCCAGGACACGGCUAAGACACACAGGCAUAGAUGCGGGAGGUUCGAACCCCUGUGUGCUUGGGUACAUGGUGUCACAACGCAAUAAACACCUGCUUCCGCAGACGCCCCUGCGGGGUGGUUUAGGAAUAGUGAUGCAAACAGUCUGAGGCAAAAUGAAAACAUUUAGAGUGUUUCAUCUUAGUGAAGAAAAAGACUGCCCUCAAUGAUAAACAUGUCAGAAGUCUUGCCUUCUACAAUUUACAGAAAGCAUGGCGAAUAGCAGGUGGAUUUUAUUAGCCUGCAUGGACUGGACAUUGAUAACACGUAAGAGUUCUGUAGCAACAUUAGCUAGUGUCUGCAUACCGAGGAUGAAAAAGCAUAUUAAA